rfam:Firmicutes bacterium CAG:822 genomic scaffold, scf4
GGGGCCGUUUUUGGUUUCGACAGGAAUAUGGAAGGAUAAAUGGCAAGUCGGAGGGACACGUUAAGUCCAAACUUAAAUAUAACUGGAAACAGAAAUAAUUACGUACCAGCAUUUGCCUAAGGUUGGCAAGGUACACUCUUUUAAUUCUUUAGCUCUCGAAGGAUUUUAAGGGUUCGCUUUUAGAGAGAUAUAUCAUUAUUUAGCCUAGAGAUAAUGAUGAAUUUUAUAGGCUUACUGGUAGAGUAGUUGUUAGUUACUAAUCUUUACUGGGACAGUUUUUAACUAACUAAACUUGUAGAUGUUUAUUUGGAAGUGUUUCUGGACAGGAGUUCAAUUCUCCUCGGCUCCACCA